UGGCCAGACUCCUACGGGAGGCAGCAGUGAGGAAUAUUGGUCAAUGGACGAGAGUCUGAACCAGCCAAGUAGCGUGAAGGAUGACUGCCCUAUGGGUUGUAAACUUCUUUUAUAAAGGAAUAAAACGAGGCACGUGUGCCUUUUUGCAUGUACUUUAUGAAUAAGGAUCGGCUAACUACGUGCCAGCAGCCGCGGUCAUACGUAGGAUCCGAGCAUUAUCCGGAGUGACUGGGUGUAAAGAGUUGCGUAGGUGGCAUAGUAAGUAGCUAGUGAAAUCUGGUGGCUCAACCAUUCAGACUAUUAGCUAAACUGCUAAGCUCGAGACCGUUAGGGGUAACUGGAAUUUCUAGUGUAGGAGUGAAAUCCGUAGAUAUUAGAAGGAACACCGAUAGCGUAGGCAGGUUACUGGGACGGUUCUGACACUAAGGCACGAAAGCGUAGGGAGCAAACGGGAUUAGAUACCCCCGUAC
rnacentral:rRNA from 1 species